CGGCAGGCCUAACACAUGCAAGUCGAACGGUAACAGGAAGCAGCUUGCUGCUUCGCUGACGAGUGGCGGACGGGUGAGUAAUGUCUGGGAAGCUGCCUGAUGGAGGGGGAUAACUACUGGAAACGGUAGCUAAUACCGCAUAAUGUCGCAAGACCAAAGAGGGGGACCUUCGGGCCUCUUGCCAUCGGAUGUGCCCAGAUGGGAUUAGCUUGUUGGUGGGGUAACGGCUCACCAAGGCGACGAUCCCUAGCUGGUCUGAGAGGAUGACCAGCCACACUGGAACUGAGACACGGUCCAGACUCCUACGGGAGGCAGCAGUGGGGAAUAUUGCACAAUGGGCGCAAGCCUGAUGCAGCCAUGCCGCGUGUAUGAAGAAGGCCUUCGGGUUGUAAAGUACUUUCAGCGGGGAGGAAGGGAGUAAAGUUAAUACCUUUGCUCAUUGACGUUACCCGCAGAAGAAGCACCGGCUAACUCCGUGCCAGCAGCCGCGGUAAUACGGAGGGUGCAAGCGUUAAUCGGAAUUACUGGGCGUAAAGCGCACGCAGGCGGUUUGUUAAGUCAGAUGUGAAAUCCCCGGGCUCAACCUGGGAACUGCAUCUGAUACUGGCAAGCUUGAGUCUCGUAGAGGGGGGUAGAAUUCCAGGUGUAGCGGUGAAAUGCGUAGAGAUCUG
rnacentral:rRNA from 1 species